rnacentral:lncRNA from 1 species
GUUGGAAAUCGUGGGUUAUUUAUUAAAGUGUAAUAAGUUUUAAGUUGUUGCUAUAAUAAAGGUAUGUUAUGAUAUUUGGUUUUAUAUUAUAGGUUGGACUAAAGAAUGAAAGGGUCCAAACAAUUUUCAUAGGUAGAUUUUUUACGACUCCUAGUAUUGAUAAGAAAAAAUUAAACAACAAAAGUCCUCCCACAUCACAUAUUAGUUCGUUUUCCUAAAAAAAAAUAUUCAGCUUUCAUGAAGAAAAUUUCAAUUUCUAUUACAACUGAAGUAUGACAAAUCUAAAUAAAUAACGGAUGUAAAUUUAAACUUAGGAUCAAAAUAUUUAAUCUCAAAAUUCGUUAAAUAGUGUUAUAUAUAAUGUAUAUAAGCCAACAAACUUUAAGAUGGACAUAUAAGUAUCACCCAUACGAUAUAAAGACAAAUGUCAAACCUUAAUUCUUAUAUA